rnacentral:rRNA from 1 species
CCUACGGGAGGCAGCAGUGGGGAAUUUUGGACAAUGGGCGCAAGCCUGAUCCAGCAAUGCCGCGUGAGUGAAGAAGGCCUUCGGGUUGUAAAGCUCUUUUGUCAGGGAAGAAACGGUCUACUCUAAUACAGUGGGCUAAUGACGGUACCUGAAGAAUAAGCACCGGCUAACUACGUGCCAGCAGCCGCGGUAAUACGUAGGGUGCAAGCGUUAAUCGGAAUUACUGGGCGUAAAGCGUGCGCAGGCGGUUAUAUAAGUCAGAUGUGAAAUCCCCGGGCUCAACCUGGGAACUGCAUUUGAGACUGUAUGGCUAGAGUGUGUCAGAGGGGGGUAGAAUUCCACGUGUAGCAGUGAAAUGCGUAGAUAUGUGGAGGAAUACCGAUGGCGAAGGCAGCCCCCUGGGAUAACACUGACGCUCAUGCACGAAAGCGUGGGGAGCAAACAGGAUUAGAUACCCUGGUAGUCCACGCCCUAAACGAUGUCUACUAGUUGUCGGGACUUAAUUGUCUUGGUAACGCAGCUACGCGUGAGUAGACCGCCGUCGGGAGGUACGGUCGCGAGAGUAAACGUACGAAGAAGUAGUACGGCGUGAGACGUAGCGACGACGACGACGAGGGAGGAGG